AAUUAAAUAGAGAUAUACAAUGUUCUUGUAUCAGAAAGCUCCUUAUUGCUGAGAUGUCAGUUCCCCCUAAAUUGAUCUAUAGAUUCAAUACAAUCCCAAUCAAAACCCAACAGGGUUGGGAAUUGACUGGGAAGGAGCACAUGACUCAGGCUGAUAGAACUGGUCUAUAUCUAGACUGUGGUGGUGAUUAUGUGGACACAUUACAAGAUGACUUACUUUGUCAAAACUCAUCAAACUGUACACUUUAAAAUAGGAGUCCCCAACCCCU
rnacentral:lncRNA from 1 species